UCUACAAAGCCAGCAAUCUUUGGCACCUCCAGUUACUAAGUGUGGUCCCAUGAUUCUGAGUAGAGGGUGUCCCUUUUCCAAAUGCUGACCUUGUUUCUCUGAGUGGAGUGAGGGGAAGAGAGAAGAAAGGAAAUAGGAUGUGCUGGCUCCAUGACACGAGGGAAGGUCCUAUCACAGAUCAUAUCAUCUUCAGAAAAUUCCAUCGAGGGUGUGAAAGCCCCCUGACCUCCAAGGAGGGAAUUAUGAGACAAGAAGCAGCUGUGAUUCCCCCAAGAGAGGGGGGCCACCAUGGUAGGCAACUCAAGACCACUGCGUGGGCCAGCAAGACUCACUCACCCCCACCUCGGCCUCCACUUGGCCUCAGAAAGCUCGCCUUCUUGUAGAAACCUGUGCACUCACACAAUCCUUCCUUCAUUUGCUUA